GGCUACUUGCACAAGCACUUCCUGAUUCGCCGUAAUACAGCUCAUCAGCUUCCGGUUCCAAGAUGGCAACGUUCUACACCCGGUGUUUACAGGAGCUGCCGACAAUAAAUAUCACAGAUGUGCAUCGUUUAUGUCGGGAAACAAAAACUCCGACAAGCAAAUUGGAGAAGGGGUUUAGGCUGUAUGCUUCGACCUACAUUCACAGCUACGAAGAUCACGCUUUGUGAUUCAUCAGCCAAGGGAUGAAAAAAGAAAGAGUUAAUCUAUGGGCUGGAGCAGCUGUCUCUGAGAGGAAAAGAAAAAAAGUAUAGCUCAAAAACGACAAAUACAAAUGCAAUGGCAUCACGUAUAAUUACAUCUGUAACUACUUAUAAAGUACUGUUGAUGCACGUGCAGGUGCGACCACUUCUUUUUUCUGGGCAGCUGA